ensembl:lncRNA
GAUUCUGAAAGCACCAUGGACUGGACCAUCUUAUCUGAACACGUAAUAGAGCACCUAAGUAUUCCAAGACUCUUCCUUCAUACUGAACAAUAUUUUUAUGAAAUCUUUGGUACUGUGAGUCACCAAAAGAACAAUGUUCCAUGUGUUGAUAUACCUAUUUGUGAAGCAGCACAGUGCAUGCAGAAGGACUGGUGAAGCCUAUUAACAGGAGGAGCAGCAAGUCAUAACAGCCCAGCAGCAAUUCAAAGACUUACCACUUUCUGACCAACAUGCACCAGCAGCAGCUGCCCCCUCCUCACAGCUUUAUGGCCUUCCACAUGAUGCCUGGUGAUAGGAAUUACC